AGAAGGAAGCUUGCUUCUUUCAAAUCUAGUGGCAAACGGGUGAGUAACACGUAAACAACCUGCCUUCAGGAUGGGGACAACAGACGGAAACGACUGCUAAUACCGAAUACGUUCCUUAGGUCGCAUGACUUUAGGAAGAAAGGGUGGCCUCUACCUGUAAGCUAUCGCCUGAAGAUGGGCUCGCGUCCGAUUAGAUAGUUGGUGGGGUAACGGCCUACCAAGUCGACGAUCGGUAGCCGGACUGAGAGGUCGAACGGCCACAUUGGGACUGAGACACGGCCCAGACUCC
rnacentral:rRNA from 1 species